GUAAGGAAUAUUGGGCAAUGGAGGCAACUCUGACCCAGCCAUGCCGCGUGAAGGAUGACGGCCCUCGUGGUUGUAAACUUCUUUUGUACGGGAAUAACCCUCCGAACGUGUUCGGAGCUGAAGGUACCGUAAGAAUAAGGAUCGGCUAACUCCGUGCCAGCAGCCGUGGUAAUACGGAGGAUCCAAGCGUUAUCCGGAUUUACUGGGUUUAAAGGGUGCGUAGGCGGAUUGAUAAGUCAGUGGUGAAAGCCUACAGCUUUACUGUAGAACUGCCAUUGAUACUGCCAGUCUGGAGUAUGGUUGAGGUAGCUGGAAUGUGUCAUGUAGCGGUGAAAUGCUUAGAGAUGACACAGAACACCAACGGCGAAGGCAGGUUACCAACCCAUUACUGACGCUGAGGCACGAAAGCGUGGGGAUCAAACAGGAUUAGAAACCCUGGUAGUCC
rnacentral:rRNA from 1 species